GACGAACGCUGGCGGCGUGCUUAACACAUGCAAGUCGAACGGAAAGGCCCUGCUUUUGUGGGGUGCUCGAGUGGCGAACGGGUGAGUAACACGUGAGUAACCUGCCCUUGACUUUGGGAUAACUUCAGGAAACUGGGGCUAAUACCGGAUAGGAGCUCCUGCUGCAUGGUGGGGGUUGGAAAGUUUCGGCGGUUGGGGAUGGACUCGCGGCUUAUCAGCUUGUUGGUGGGGUAGUGGCUUACCAAGGCUUUGACGGGUAGCCGGCCUGAGAGGGUGACCGGCCACAUUGGGACUGAGAUACGGCCCAGACUCCUACGGGAGGCAGAAGUGGGGAAUAUUGCACAAUGGGCGGAAGCCUGAUGCAGCAACGCCGCGUGCGGGAUGACGGCCUUCGGGUUGUAAACCGCUUUCGCCUGUGACGAAGCGUGAGUGACGGUAAUGGGUAAAGAAGCACCGGCUGACUACGUG
rnacentral:rRNA from 1 species